AGAGUUUGAUCAUGGCUCAGAUUGAACGCUGGCGGCAUGCCUUACACAUGCAAGUCGAACGGUAACAGGUCUUCGGAUGCUGACGAGUGGCGAACGGGUGAGUAAUACAUCGGAACGUGCCCGAUCGUGGGGGAUAACGCAGCGAAAGCUGUGCUAAUACCGCAUACGAUCUACGGAUGAAAGCGGGGGAUCGCAAGACCUCGCGCGGACGGAGCGGCCGAUGGCAGAUUAGGUAGUUGGUGGGAUAAAAGCUUACCAAGCCGACGAUCUGUAGCUGGUCUGAGAGGACGACCAGCCACACUGGGACUGAGACACGGCCCAGACUCCUACGGGAGGCAGCAGUGGGGAAUUUUGGACAAUGGGCGCAAGCCUGAUCCAGCCAUGCCGCGUGCAGGAUGAAGGCCUUCGGGUUGUAAACUGCUUUUGUACGGAACGAAAAAGCUCUCUCUAAUACAGGGGGUGAAUGACGGUACCGUAAGAAUAAGCACCGGCUAACUACGUGCCAGCAGCCGCGGUAAUACGUAGGGUGCAAGCGUUAAUCGGAAUUACUGGGCGUAAAGCGUGCGCAGGCGGUUAUGUAAGACAGAGGUGAAAUCCCCGGGCUCAACCUGGGAACUGCCUUUGUGACUGCAUAGCUGGAGUGCGGCAGAGGGGGAUGGAAUUCCGCGUGUAGCAGUGAAAUGCGUAGAUAUGCGGAGGAACACCGAUGGCGAAGGCAAUCCCCUGGGCCUGCACUGACGCUCAUGCACGAAAGCGUGGGGAGCAAACAGGAUUAGAUACCCCGGUAGU
rnacentral:rRNA from 1 species